GGGCAAAGAAAAAGAUUUGCAGAGGAGAGGGUUUGGGUUAGCGCACGGCAUCUUCCCAGCCACCUCCUAAACCCCAUUGAAUUCUCUCUCGAUGUGUUGAUGCCUUAGACAUAUUCUCUGAAAAUUCUGGAAAAAACUAUGAGUAGUCAAGUGCCUCCAGCGCCCAGGCGCAAUAGUUUGGUACAGAAACGAAACAUUUCAACUUUGAAGAAAUCUGUCAAUCAAUCUGACACAAAUCCUCCUACUAGCCAGAGCCAGAGCAAGCCUUCUUCUCCACCUCACUCGUCCGUUGCUGGGGAGAGAACAGUGAAAAAGCUAAGGUUAUCCAAGGCACUGACAAUUCCGGAGGGCACCACUGUGUCCGAGGCAUGUCGGCGGAUGGCAGCCAGACGAAUUGAUGCCGUUCUACUGACUGAUGCAAACGCCUUACUCUCUGGCAUAGUAACUGACAAGGAUAUUGCAACUAGGGUUAUAGCUGAGGAGUUGAGGCCUGAGCAAACAAUUAUUUCGAAGGUCAUGACCAGGAACCCCAUUUUUGUGGCUGCAGAUUCAUCGGCUAUUGAAGCCCUUCAGAAGAUGGUGCAAGGUAAAUUCCGCCACCUUCCUGUUGUGGAAAAUGGUGAAGUU
rnacentral:misc_RNA from 1 species